CAGUCGCCACGGGAAUACAGAGGGUGCAAGCGUUAAUCGGAAUUACUGGGCGUAAAGCGCGCGUAGGUGGUUCGUUAAGUUGGAUGUGAAAUCCCCGGGCUCAACCUGGGAACUGCAUCCAAAACUGGCGAGCUAGAGUAGGGCAGAGGGUGGUGGAAUUUCCUGUGUAGCGGUGAAAUGCGUAGAUAUAGGAAGGAACACCAGUGGCGAAGGCGACCACCUGGGCUCAUACUGACACUGAGGUGCGAAAGCGUGGGGAGCAAACAGGAUUAGAUACCCCAGUAGUCCCUGUCUCUUAUAC
rnacentral:rRNA from 1 species